GCUUGUUUUUCUGUUUUGUUGAGAAGGCUGCUGUUUAACCUUAUCAAGAGUUUAAAGAUAAAUAGACCUUAAAAGUAAAUAGACUAUUACUGUUGGUAUUUUCCUGUGGUUAAAGACUGGUUGACUAAGACAAGAGAAAGAACAGGCUAAAAGAAAAACAAAAAAUAGCACUCAUUCAUUCUGUCAGUCAUGUAGAAGGAAAACCAAGAAGAGUGCAGGUUCUGGAAAGCCAGUGUAGAAAGUAUUUCACGUUUGGGCUGGGGGUUUAGCUCAGUGGCAAAUGGAAGGUCCUGAGUUUGAUCCCCAGUAUUGGGCAAGGUGUUGGGGGAUACUUCACUGAAAAAGAUCAAAUACACUCAUUAGACAGUUAAGAGCUGAGAGUUGACCACUGAAUUUAGUAGUAUGGUAGUCACUAGUAAUCUCGACAAGAGUAGUUGUGCUGUAGUGGUAGGGUUAGAACAUGACUGUAGUAGGUUGUUGUUUUGAGUUUUUUGGUACCAGGGAUUGAACUUGGGUCUUUGCGCUUGCGCAGUAGGCGGCAGAACCACUGAGCUAAAUCCCUGGCCCUUGUUUUCCUUUUUUGAGACAGGGUCUCACUAUGUAGUUCUGGCCUUGAACUCACUAUGUGACUCAGUAGUAGAGUGCAACUCUGGUGUUGAACUCACAAAAGUCCUCCUGCCUCAGCCUCCCGAGUGCUGGGAUUUCAGGCGUGCAUCACUACUCCUGGUGAGAACAAGUUGAAAGUUCAAAAUUAAAAACAAAAAAAAGGACUAGACAGGAACUCUAAUUUGAGAAAUGAUUUCUUUGAAAACUUGCUACCAGACUUAUUAGGGGUGAAAAAUUAGGCACAUUCUCUUUUAAAGUCAAGCAGAGAAAAUGAAUGCUUACAAUUAUAAUUUAUAUUCCAUGGUGUAAAUACCAAUAUUGUAGAACAAGAAAAUAAUUUAUGUAAGAAAUGGAAAGGAAAAUUGUCGAUUACAAAACCAAAUCCACAGGCAAAUCAUCUAAAUUUUGAAAAUGUUUAGCAAAAUUGCUUUUGAGACAGGGUCUCUCAUUAUUUAGUUGAGGCGGGCCUUAAACUCUGGCCUCAAACUCUCAGCAGUCCUCCUGCUUUAGCCUCCUAAGUGUUGGAAUUACAGGUAUGUAUGCACCAC
rnacentral:lncRNA from 1 species